GAUGAACGCUGGCUACAGGCUUAACACAUGCAAGUCGAGGGGAAACGACGGGGAAGCUUGCUUCCCCGGGCGUCGACCGGCGCACGGGUGAGUAACGCGUAUCCAACCUGCCUCUGACUGAGGGAUAACCCGUCGAAAGUCGGCCUAAUACCUCAUGGUAUCGUCUGCGGGCAUCCAACGACGAUUAAAGAUUUCAUCGGUCAGGGAUGGGGAUGCGUCUGAUUAGCUUGUUGGCGGGGUAACGGCCCACCAAGGCUACGAUCAGUAGGGGUUCUGAGAGGAAGGUCCCCCACAUUGGAACGGAGACACGGUCCAAACUCAUACGGGAGGCAGCAGUGAGGAAUAUUGGUCAAUGGGCGAGAGCCUGAACCAGCCAAGUAGCGUGCAGGAAGACGGCCCUAUGGGUUGUAAACUGCUUUUAUGCGGGGAUAAAGUGAGGGACGUGUCCCUCAUUGCAGGUACCGCAUGAAUAAGGACCGGCUAAUUCCGUG
rnacentral:rRNA from 1 species